CGAUGGUGGGAGGUUGUUGAAUGCCGCUCUGUGCUGCCAGGUGCUGCCGGGACAGAUUUUCCCGUGGUAGCGGCAUCCCUCCAACAUGUGGCCCCCGCCGGUCCUCCUUUGCGCGCUCUGCGGCCGCCCCCACCCUCCACACCACCACAACACACUGCCACAUAUAUGAGCCCCGUGUUAGCCCAAAUGCUGCGAGCACAAGGCUGAGGAGGCACGCGAGGAAAGAAAGCUGCUGCGACGGAGACUGUGGAAGAUUGGGAUUUUUUAAAAGUUCCAGGAUGAAGACAGGAGGCAUUACUUUCACCGAGAACAAAGCCGGGUGAUGAAAAGCUUAUGUUGGAGUGAAACGGGCGAUGACGGUGGCCGCUUCAGACUCCUGAAAGAAAGAGAAAGGGGCUGAAUCCCAGCCGGCUGUGCUGUAAGUCAAAGACGUGCAGUGGCUGGUGGCCAGUGCUGACUGGGAAAGCUUCCAGCCUCAGAGGGACCGUGAUUAACCCAGGAGCGGUCAAACUCGGCAGGAAGCCCUCCACAACCAGCCACUGCUAUUUAUCCACUUUCCAAUGAAACCAAUUACUUUUACAGCAAACCUCGGUGCCGACACUAUAUGUGUUGUUCUUGUAGACCAAUAGAGUAUGGCUGUGAAAGGAGAGGCAGACGUGAAGUAGGAAACCCUCCUGGGCUGCUUCAACAGGCUGUAAAAUAUACCUAAAGUCAGUGUCCAUGGAGAUUCUGUGAUGUGCUGAACACAAAGCCUUUUAGAAAAAUAAACUUCAGUGUUAUUAGAGCUGUUUUUAUGGCUCAUCUCAUUGACUUUGCUAGUUGCAGACUGCAUGAAUACAAAUUUAAAGAUAAAUCCAGUUCACACACCUUUUAUUUUUACACCUUCCACUAAAACAUUAACAUGACAUCACCCUUUAUUCAGUCCACGUGACUGAGUGUUGUUAAAUAUGUUAACACUUUAAAUAUAUCAUUUGCAAAAAGUCACAUAUUAGUGAAUAUUUUAACAAGAACCACAGCCAACAGUUGUCAGACUGUCUGCAGACAUUACAUGAGCAUGACUGCAGUUUUAAUUCAUUUCUUAUGUUUAUUUUUGAUCUUCUAUGUGUAUCACUGUUAUUGCAGUUAGUGCUCCUAAUGCUGAGCAACACAUGUCAUUGUACCGUUGACCCUGUGUUAACCUACAUAUGAAAAAUAAAACUGAAAAUGAAC